rnacentral:misc_RNA from 1 species
UACAGACAAUGAAUAUAAAACAGUUGUGGCCUUCCAUAUACAAUCUCAUUGGUUAAACAUACGAUGCUUUGUUUGGCAUGUACCACGUGGGAUUAGGCAAAAAUGCACAUCAAACAAGUAGAAUUAUCGGUCAAUUGUUAAUACUAUCAGAAUAUGCAUCACGAUAAGAGUUACAUUACAAUUCGUGACCUCUAACUUAAUGAUAAAAGAGCACUCGGGCAAAACGACACAGGCACGAUGUUUCAGAUGUAUGAUAGUCAGGGUGGUGUAUACAGAAACACUAUAGUAAAAUACAUCGCUGAACAGAGAAGUCACUUUGAACGUCGGGACUGAAUAACAGUAACUAUGAGCAAGUGGAGUUAUCUACACUCACCUCCAACUGUACCAAAUACGUACAGCAGUUUAAAUGACGCUUUAAAGAGAAAUUCAGAAACCUCUCCCAAUACAGAGGCGUUCAUCUAUCGUUGUCCAGAUGGAUCUCGCCAGAGUAUCACCUCCAGUGACCUCUAUGAAAAAUCGAGAUGUGUGGCCAAGUACCUCAUUACUUCCGGUCUAUCGCGGCAGGACAAAGUUGUCAUUUUCGGUCCUAACACACUAGCAAGAAUCGUAGCGGAAUUUGGCAUCUUAUUGGCAGGAGGUGUUGUCCUUCAACUCAAUAUCAACGUCAAAAAUGCCACCGACGCCGCCGAUAUGUUAGACAAGGGUAGAUGCAGAAUUGUGUUUGCUGAUCCUGGUGAGAACGAUGUUUUGCUUCCGGUUAUAAGUAGUCUGGAAAGGGAGGAUAAUAAUAAAAAACAAGAGCAUCAGUUCAUCUUUUUGAGAAAAUCAAGCUCAACAAAAAUCGCCCACACCCUCAUCAGCGACAUUCAAAGUGCAGAGAAUGCAAAUACGGUGUUGCCGGAGGUAUAUCCCGAGGAUGACGCAAUUAUAUUUACUACGUCCGGUAGUACUGGUAAGCCUAAAAUGGUUGUCCAUACUCAUUUAAAUUUUAUUAAUGCCUUUCAACAGUUCGCCCGUAUAAAAGAAGAACAAAACAAAUCAUUCAACAAUCGGCCUUUUUGCUGGCUUGGUGGAACACUAGCAAUUCCCAUAGUUAUGGGAUCUCCUUUGGUUUUCACCGACUCAAAUUUAAGCACAACAGUGGACGGAGUCAAAACCAUUUGGAAAAUUAUGAAAGAAGAAGAUGUUGACAAUGCUUUAUUGAUGCCGUAUGUUCUACACGACCUUAUCACAGAGCAAGACAAUAUCGAAGACGAUGGAUUCCGGUUGCAAUCCAUAACGACUGGUGGUCAAAUUAUAGACCAUUUCUGCACAAAAGUAUUAGGAAGGUUCUGCAGAUCAUUAUCAGUUGGAUACGGUUCAACAGAGAUCAUUGCCGGCACCUUUCUGCCUACUCUUCGUCCGGGAGAUCACCUCGAAACUGGAAAUGUGGGAAAUCCUAUGAACGGUGUGGAAGUCAGGAUCGUCGACUCAGAAGGACAUCCAACAAAAAUAGGGCAGGUAGGCGAAAUUCAGAUCAGGAGUAGCUUUUUGAUGAAGGAAUAUUUCGCAGAUGAAGCUAUGACGAUGAAAGCAUUUACAGAUGAUAGGCAUAAAUGGUUUAAACCGGAAGAUCUUGGUUUGAUUACGUCAUCAGGAGAUCUGAUCAUACGCGGUAGAGUAAAAGAUAAUAUUUCCCGCGGUGGAAGGAAGGUGCUUCCGGCGUUGGUGGAUGACGUAGUACAGCAUCUAGAUGGUCUCCGUUUCGUGGCGACAGUGGCAGUACCAGAUGCACGGCUGUAUGAAGAAGUAUGUGUCUGCUUCAUAGCGGAGGAAGGGGUUGACCUGUCUCCAUCAGACGUUCAGCGUUAUUGUGAAGAUAAAUUCUCCAAGGAUGAAUCGUUAGAUGGCAUGGGGUCUAUGCCCAAAUAUUUUGUCAGAUUCGACGAAUUUCCAACGCUCUUCACUGGGAAGCCCGACAAACAGGAACUGAAGCGACGGGCAGCAGGGCGCCUAAAACUUCAUGUCGGUUGAUAGGAAAGCAUUUCUGUAUGGCAUGCAGAUAACAAUUUAUUCUCUAAUAUAUUUGGAUUUCAUACAAGUUAUAUCUUAAACAGAGCACAAGACGCAUUUUGGCAUAACAAGGUAACAAAGUGAUAAGAAAACAGCUUAUAUGAAACUGGUUAAGUUACUUAUGUUCUAAUAUAUGUUCUGAAUGAAAUUUGAAAACCUUGGAAAGGUGAGUCCUCCUUUGCUUAUAUCAAGCAGAAUGAUUUUAUUUUGUGUUGUAAAUGGCAGUUAUAUUUGUACAUUCAUUCCCGAAGGAACAUUUGAACUCGUACAAAUCGAAGGAUGGAAUAGUUCAUUAAAAAAUUCAAGGGGCAAAUGAGCUAACAUAAUUAUUUAGAGUUGUGGCACUGUUAAUUUACAAUAUGGGUCUGUUCAUUAUCGUAAACACAUUACUUAAUUGACGAUGAUGCUGUUCAUUUUGAUCAUGCUGACCAUUAUGAAAUCAAGAUGAUUGUCAAACCAACACAAAUAUCAUACGUCGUACAUCGUACGUUGAAGCCUUCGCACAUGCGCCAGGGAGGAUUGCGGGGGGGAGGGGGAGGGGGAUCACCUAAUAGAUGAAUCUAUACUUGAGACUGAAAAGUCAUCUAAGGAUUGAACAACAUGAACAUUGGAAACUUCUCGUCAAUAAAGAUAUCUAUUUUUUAAAUUUGUUAAGUUAUCAUUUAUCUUAAUAUAGGUAUUUCCUUAUAUUUUCGAUAUGGAAUUGUCGGAGCUAACGAGAUUCCUUGAACAGGCUACCGUCACCGAAAUAUUUGCAUCUACCUGUUGUCUCACGUUAUUUAAGGCGGAGGAGAAGCUCAAAAUGACGCAAAUCAAUUGGCGCUCAAUGACCUAUAUUCACCAUUGUAUGGCAUUGCUACUAUAUAACCCUACCAGAGAUAGUUGCGAAUUGUCCAGCUCAUGAAAUGCAAACAGUGUAGGAAUUUCAAGGAAUGAAAACAAGUUGCGGUUUCCUCCCCUUGAUAGACAAUAUUCUGUUACGUUUGUUGACAAAAGGAAAUGGAGAAAAGAAGUUAUCAUACGUGACUAAGUUUGAAAUUAAAACAAAGGUAUAAUAAUAUAUAACAAAACUCGAAAAUAAACGUUACGUUACUUUAAAAAUAAAAUUAAACGCCACCUAUAUGUAAGGAUUAUAUGUCGUCUGCGAAAUGGAUGAUAGCGACGAUAUAGGAUUAUCCGACUCAGAGCUUGGAAAAUGGAGUAUUUGUUUGCCCAGUGAUAUGAAUUCCGAUGAAAUGGAUAUGGAUUCCGGCGAGGAAGAGAUCUUAAGCGGACUAGAUCUAGAAGGGAUAGUAGAGUUGAUGGCAACUUCGCGGCUCCGCAGGAUUUUCAAAAGAAAUUGAAGCGGAAAUACAGAGGGCGGCGUUGGGCUUCCUGCACCCUCCAGAAACAAAAGGAGAGGUUUGACAAUGCAACUGUUGAUGACCUUUCACUUUAUUGCGAUGCCACACGGGCGGAAAAACACAGCCUGGGGGAUAAAGGUAUGUCAAGUUUUAAUAUUGAGAAAAACUGGGAAAUCGGUCAGCAUGCAGGAGGUAAGCAUUCAGGACCUGGUCGAGGAACUCAGGAGAUUUUAUGUUGAAGCUAGGCCGAAGGGGGUAGAUCUGUACCGUAGGAACAAUUUAAGAAUAUUCGGAGAGUGAUAAACAGACAUUUAGCCGAUAUUCAUAGGAACAUUGAUAUCGUGAGAGAUAAAGAUUUCAGACGUGCGAAUUAUUGUUAUUGAACCAUGUCACCUAGAAAAAAUCGCCACUUACCUGUCCGUUGUUGAUACCUUACCCACCUGUGGUCCUUCGCCACUGUGUGUGGUUCAAUUUAUCCAUUCACUUUGUGACAAGGAGGAUGAAAUUUCAUCACCAACAUUUCAUCAACAUUUCAACGUGACGAAUCUGAAGAAUAUGUAACACUGUCACACACAACCCACCAACAAAAAAAAAGUGGAUUGGAAUUCCGAGAAUCGGUUAAUGAUAAGCGAAUGUACAAUUGUCCGGGGUCGUCCUGGUGUCCGGUGAUAAUGUUGAAACUUUUUUUAGAACAAAACUAACGUAAAUGCCGCACAGCUGUUCAAUCAGUAUAACAAGAUUGAUUGUACCUCCCCUUUGACCACUAACAUUUGGUACAAAACAAAUCCUCUGGCGAAACGUACAAUCGCAUGUUUUCUCUCUGACGUAUGUAAAUCGUCCCAUGUCGACAAGCAGUACACACCUCAUUUCCCUGGGGCCGCGAUGGCCAAGUGGUUAAGGCGUCUGACAUUCUGAUACCACUAGCCCUCCACCACUGGGUC